AUGGUUUUUGAAGUUAGCUGAAAAGCUAAGCCGCAAACAAAAAAGUUAGCUUUGCUAAUUAGCGGUUAUUAGAUUAGUAAAACUGUGCCCACCACUGCUUAUUAAUAACCAAGAGGCUCUGCAGCUUUUUUUUGCAUACAAACACAUCUUAUGUCUUCCUCUUUAACUGCACCACAGCACACGCGCACAAAACCAUCAUCUCUAACAAAACAUUCCAUGUGUGACGGCGAGGCAGCAGGUGCUUAAUUCCAGCUUCAGGUAAUGUGGUUAAAUGUGACGACAAAACCUGAUUGCUGAUCCCAGACAGCACAUGCACUAAGAUUUUUUUACGCUCUGAAUGUUGCUGUGAGGAAACAGUCUGUACCUGGAAGCGUGCUUCCAAAUGCAGAGCACUGCUCUUCAGCUUUUAGAGUCACAUGUCUGAGCUCAUUAGUGACCGAGCAGGAGACCAGGUCUAAGCUCAGACCGGCUGCUGCUGCCCUCCAGAUAAUGGUGUGCUCGCUGGGAGCUCGCUGGGAGCACGCUUUUCAGCAUGUUUACACCAGGCAGGGUUAGUUAACCGAAUCAUACACAUCCAGGUGGAUCCUGGGAAACAUCCCAAUGGUUUUUACCCUGAUCUGUGCCGAGUGUCAGAUUCUGAGGUCAUCGGCCCCGCCUGUUAGUAACUCAGAACCGAGAGCAUGGAUAUGCCAACAACAAGUUUACCAGCUUUCACCACUUAGUGACGACAGUUUGUAGGACUCUGUGGCCGACGCUUUGCAAAUUCAAAUGUGAAUCCAUGCUUGUGCACCCAAAGGCGUGGCUGCAAAUAAUAUACAUUUUUCCGAAUGAAAAAACUCUCUUUUUUUCCAUUAGAAUUUAGUUCUUAAAAUAGCAGAAAAAUGAGCUAUUCACAGUUUCUGAGACUUAAAGACGACAAGUUCAAGUGACUUCAUUGGACUUGGGAUGCGCCAAUCCAAAAUACCAGACUGCAUUGGUUAGUAUGGGUCAAAAUUACUAGAUCAGAUACCAGAAAUAACAAAAUCCAAGCCAAAGACACUUUGUCCACUAUUUCUUUUUCCAAUUGUAUUUUUUCAGUAUGCCUUGGUUAGCAAAGUAGAUUAGUUGUUUUAGGACAGAGCGAAAGUAAUUGGAUUGGUAUAAUUUUAGCAGAUACUGAAGAGUUAAAUAUUGGUAUCUUAUCGGACAUGAAAAAGCAGUACUGUACCGUCCCUCGUUUCAACCAAUUUAUCAAAUGUAUCCAGUUUAAACCCAUAAAUGAUGACUAGUCUUAUUUAUUUGUCCCUAUCACACUCACGGAUUUUCUCUUUAAAACCAGGCAGGAAGUGAACCUGGAACCUUCUCGCAGUGAGGCAGCAAUGCUACCCACUAAGCUAACCACGUCGCAGACAUUUCACAUUAAUUUCAAAGAACACGUAAAGAACGCUUUAAAGACGUGAACAACAGGCAAGACUUCACAGAUGCGUUUGCAAAGUUAAACCAGCAAGCAUCCUGUUCUGUUACAAAAAAAAAAAAUUUAAUACUCUUUCUUUCGACGAUAAAAUUUCUCAGCGUUUUACACGAAUCACAACACUUACGAGCCGUGCAGCAACUAUUCUCCACAAUACUGAGUAAUUCAUGCAGAUUCUACCAACUGAGCUGCAUUUUUGUAAAAACUCUGAUAAAUUAAUUCCUAUUAAUAUUCAAUCAUAAGAUGAUGUAAUACUGCUGAUGUUUAUGGUGAC